AUCACCUGGACGAGAGAAAAGCGGAUGAUAUCAUAUACCUGGACUUCCAGAAAGCCUUUGACCUGGUAUCCCAUGAGAAGUGAACAGGGCAGCCAGUCGGCUGCAGGAGAGGGAACAAGCACACGCAAGCAGAGACACUGAUCCUGGUAAGAGUGCGAGUAAAUAGUUAGGGUGAAGCAGAUGAUGACUUUUAAAAAAUUUUAAUGAAGAUCAGAACCAGCAGCCCAGGGACCAAGAAGUUGAGCAUUACUUCCUAUCUCUGAGAAACUUAUCUAAGAUGUCACCUACUAUGAAUAAACUAUUCAUCUGAGAUAACACAAGCAUUCCCUCCCUCAUCUGCCCAUGUACAGUGAUUGUGCAGUAGUGGGAGCUUACUUUUGCAAGACAGAAGAGGAAAAUUGCCAGAUGUAAAUUUUGAAAUGAAGCUUUUCCUGAAGUUCAAUAAGCAUGUUUAAACAGUUUCUGCUAUGCAACUGAACAUUCUUUUUUUUUCAUUUAAACUGAUUUUCUCAUUUCAGUCUAAUUUUAAUUUUCAGACACUUUCAUUAUUUCUAAUUCAGAUGUAUUUCAUACCCUUUUGUUACCUUUUGAGCAAUAAAAAUUGUAACAACAGAGGUUUUCUGUGGAAACAGC